UACGUAGGGUGCGAGCGUUAAUCGGAAUUACUGGGCGUAAAGGGUGCGCAGGCGGCCCUGUAAGACCGGUGUGAAAUCCCCGGGCUCAACCUGGGAAUUGCGCUUGUGACUGGCGGGCUCGAGUACGGUAGAGGGGGGUGGAAUUCCUGGUGUAGCAGUGAAAUGCGUAGAGAUCAGGAGGAACACCGAUGGCGAAGGCAGCCCCCUGGGCCUGUACUGACGCUCAUGCACGAAAGCGUGGGGAGCAAACAGG
rnacentral:rRNA from 1 species